AUUCGACACACUAUCAUUAACUGAAUCCAUAGGUUAAUGAGGCGAACCGGGGGAACUGAAACAUCUAAGUACCCCGAGGAAAAGAAAUCAACCGAGAUUCCCCCAGUAGCGGCGAGCGAACGGGGAGGAGCCCAGAGCCUGAAUCAGUGUGUGUGUUAGUGGAAGCGUCUGGAAAGGCGCGCGAUACAGGGUGACAGCCCCGUACACAAAAAUGCACAU
rnacentral:rRNA from 1 species